GACGAACGCUGGCGGCGUGCUUAACACAUGCAAGUCGAACGGACAGGCCCUGCUUUUGUGGGGUGCUCGAGUGGCGAACGGGUGAGUAACACGUGAGUAACCCGCCCUUGUCUUUGGGAUAACUUCAGGAGACUGGGGCUCAUACCGGAUAGGAGCUCCUGCUGCAUGGUGGGGGUUGGAAAGUUUCGGCGGUUUGGGAUGGACUGGCUGGUUAUCAGCUUGUUGGUGGGGUAGUGGCUUACCAAGGCUUUGACGGGUAGCCGGCCUGAGAGGUUGACCAGGGACAAUGGGACUGAGGGAGGGCCCAGACGGCUACGGGAGGCAGCAGGCGGGAAUAUUGCGGAGUGAGCGGGAGCCUGAUACAGCGGCGCCGGGUGCGGAAUGACGGCCUUCGGGUUGUAAACCGCUUUCGCCGGUGACGAGGCGGUAGUGACGGUAAUUGAUAAGGAAGCACCGGCUAACUACGUG
rnacentral:rRNA from 1 species